rnacentral:misc_RNA from 1 species
GGGACGCGCUUGCGAUGGAGUUUUCAAUAGCCAGAAGAAGACCGUGUGGUUCUCGCCCGGUCAACAACUGCAGAAUUGUUACCCCAAGUGCGUACGUAUCUGACUUUGGCCGGAGUGUGCCAGUUCUCUGAUAUUCAGGAUCCAUGUAAUGUAGAGUACCGGCAAGAAUGGUGUUUCGGUACUCCGUGACAUUGUCCGGCACAAUAUCGCCGAUGAUCUUAGCCAUUCCAACAUCUGAGAUUUUACUUACAAAGUUUCUGUCCAGUAAGAUAUUAC